rnacentral:rRNA from 1 species
GAUUAACGCUGGCGGCGUGCAUAACACAUGCAAGUCGAACGAUGAAGAUUAUUGGACUUCUUCGGAUUGAAAAUAAUUGGAUUAUUGGCGGAGGGGUGAUUAACGCGUGAGUAACCGGCCUUACACAAGGGAAUAGCCGUUGGAAACGACGAAUAAUACCCUAUGAAACUUUCCCUUCGAAUGAGGCGUUAUUCAAAGUGUUAGCGGUGUAAGAUGGACUUGCGUCUGAUUAGCUAGUGGGUGAGAAAAAAGCCCACCAAGGCAACGAUCAGUAGCCGGCUUGAGAGAGUGUACGGCCACAUUGGGACUGAGACACGGCCCAGACUCCUACGGGAGGCAGCAGUGGGGAAUUUUGCACAAUGGGGGAAACCCUGAUGCAGCGACGCCGCGUGAUUUAGAAGGCCUUCGGGUUGUAAAAAUCUUUUGUAUAGGAAGAAAAUGACAGUACUAUACGAAUAAGGUCCGGCUAAUUACGUG